rnacentral:tRNA from 1 species
CGAGGUGUGGCUCAGAUUGGUAGAGCGCUGCGUUCGGGACGCAGAGGUCGUGGGUUCGAAUCCCGUCACCUCGA